CACACAGCUGCAGCAGCACUGAUGGUCGUAUCAAAGAGGUCAGUGUGUACAUAUAAAUAUACACUCUAUAUAUACGCAGUGUGUGGUUGUGGGCAGAUGUGAGGGAGUGGCUCAUGUUUCUACGUUUAUUAUAAGGGGCUGUUUGGGUUUGGCAGCUUGGGACGGGUAAACAUGUAAAAUAAUGUCUCAUCAUGAGAAGUCUGAGUGAAGCUGAAGGCGGCCGUACGUACAGGAGCACACCGCGUCUAAACACAGCGUUCAUGUGAUCCUCAUGAAACACAUGAAGGACAAUAGGUUAGUUAUACUGGGCUCUAACUAAUAGUAUAAAUAUCGCAACAACUUUAGGGUGGACCGGGACAGGGAGGGCUGUGGCUCAGUGGUAGAGUCGUUUUGAUCCCCAGCUCCUGCAGCUACAUGUCAAUGUGUCAAUGUGUCCAUGUGCAAGACUCUUGCGUCAGUGGUGUGUGAAUGGGAACAGGGUGAAUGUGGAAAUAAAGCGAGGUAGACACUACAAAAUCAUCGGACCAAUUUUAGGCCCUCCCCACCCCCCCCCCUUCAGAUCAAGCAAAGGCCAGAUUGUCAGAUUUAUUUAUUCAAAAUACGACUACUGUUAACCUCCUACUAAAGGAAUUACCCGCCUUACCUGAUGAACCUGUUGAGAUUUGUGUCGCUGCUGCAAGCAUUUCCAGUUAUUGUAAGCGAUCCAUAAAAUUCAACUGAAUCUGUUGGAGAAUUUUGUUUGUUCAAAUGUCCAUGCAUGCAGAGUUUACCCCCCCCCC